AUUGAACGCUGGCGGCAGGCUUAACACAUGCAAGUCGAGCGAGCGGCGGACGGGUGAGUAAUGUCUGGGAAACUGCCUGCUGGAGGGGGUUAACUACUGGAAACGGUAGCUAAUACCGCAUACCAUCAGAUGUUCCCAGAUGGGAUUAGCUAGUAGGUGGGGUACUGGCUCACCUAGGCGACGAUCCCUAGCUGGUCUGAGAGGAUGACCAGCCACACUGGAAAUGGGACACGGUCCAGACUCCUACGGGGGGCAGCGUUGGGGAAUAUUGCAGAAUGGGAGCAAGCCUGAUGCAGACAUGCCGCGUGUGUGAAGAAGGCCUAAGGGGUGUAAAGUACUUUCGGAGGGGAGGUGUUACCCGCAGAAGAAGCACCGGCUAACUCCGUGCCAGCAGCCGCGGUAAUAC
rnacentral:rRNA from 1 species